GGAGAGAUGGCAGAGUGGCCGAAUGCGACGGCUUGCUAAGCCGUUGAGGGGAUUUGUCCCCUCCGGGGGUUCGAAUCCCCCUCUCUCCGCCA
rnacentral:tRNA from 1 species